UUCCCUCUGUCUUCCUCCAGGGGUUUUUGCCUGUAGAGUGCCCUGGCAAUGACUGAGGGUACAGGAAAAGGAAAAGUAGACUUCCUUCUUCAGGAUGACCAUUUCCAUUGGGACCUACAAGGUGACUGACAGU
ensembl:snoRNA